rnacentral:rRNA from 3 species
AACGACUCUCGGCAACGGAUAUCUCGGCUCUCGCAUCGAUGAAGAACGUAGCGAAAUGCGAUACUUGAUGUGAAUUGCAGAAUCCCGUGAACCAUCGAGUCUUUGAACGCAAGUUGCGCCCGAGGCCAUUAGGCCGAGGGCACGUCUGGCUGGGUGUCACACAAC